rnacentral:lncRNA from 9 species
GUGAGUUAUAAAAAUUAUACUACAUUCAAUAAUAAAGCACCUUUUAAAACAUUUAGGAGACUUCUGUUGCUCAAAUAUGGAUAAUGUGCAUCCUUCUCAUUAAGAAGCUGCUUCCUCAUUGGUUUGUGAUGAAAUAUGAGUGCAAUUUCCUGUCCCCUCAACAAUGUUGGUUUCUCUUCUGGGUACAAGCAGAUUUAUCUGGCUCCUCGGUUGACAAAAUCGUCAUCUCAAGAAACAUGGGUGGCCAAAGAUGAUCUCCUAUCAGGAAAUGUAGGGGACAGCAGACUACCGGUGUUGUCAUUAAAGCAGUAUCAGUUAAUGUGUGUUGAAGUCUUGCCGUGUGCUUGGCACUCAGCUUCAUGCAUCAUCUCAUUUAACCCCUACAAGAAUUCUAUGCAGUGGUUGCUGUCUUAUAUCUGUGAAAACUGAAACUUUAAUAAGAGAUGGAGAAACACACAUGGUCACAAAACCCC